rnacentral:rRNA from 1 species
CAAUAGCGUAUAUUAAAGUUGUUGCAGUUAAAAAGCUCGUAGUUGGAUUUGUGGCGUACGGUGUGUUCCGGGCACUUGUUGUCUGAGUAACUUGCUGUUGCCAUCCUUGGGUGGAACCUGUGUGGCAUUAGGUUGUCGUGCAGGGGAUGCCCAUCAUUUACUGUGAAAAAAUUAGAGUGUUCAAAGCAGGCUUAUGCCGUUGAAUAUAUUAGCAUGGAAUAAUGAGAUAGGACUUUUUUGCUAUUUUGUUGGUUUGCGCAAAGAGGUAAUGAUUAAUAGGGACAGUUGGGGGUAUUCGUAUUCCAUUGUCAGAGGUGAAAUUCUUGGAUUUUUGGAAGACGAACUACUGCGAAAGCAUUUACCAAGGAUGUUUUCAUUAA